CCUACGGGUGGCAGCAGUGAGGAAUAUUGGUCAAUGGGCGGGAGCCUGAACCAGCCAAGUCGCGUGAGGGAAGACGGUCCUACGGAUUGUAAACCUCUUUUGCCGGGGAGCAACGGGGUCCUUGCGAGGGCCCGAUGAGAGUACCCGGAGAAAAAGCAUCGGCUAACUCCGUGCCAGCAGCCGCGGUAAUACGGAGGAUGCGAGCGUUAUCCGGAUUUAUUGGGUUUAAAGGGUGCGUAGGCGGUCCGUUAAGUCAGCGGUAAAAUUGCGGGGCUCAACCCCGUCGAGCCGUUGAAACUGGCAGACUUGAGUUGGCGAGAAGUACGCGGAAUGCGCGGUGUAGCGGUGAAAUGCAUAGAUAUCGCGCAGAACUCCGAUUGCGAAGGCAGCGUACCGGCGCCAGACUGACGCUGAGGCACGAAAGCGUGGGGAUCGAACAGGAUUAGAUACCCGGGUAGUC
rnacentral:rRNA from 1 species